rnacentral:rRNA from 1 species
UACGUAGGGGGCAAGCGUUGUCCGGAUUUAUUGGGCGUAAAGAGCGUGUAGGCGGCCAUACAGGUCAGCUGUGAAAACUCGAGGCUCAACCUCGAGACGUCGGUUGAAACCGUAUGGCUAGAGUCCGGAAGAGGAGAGUGGAAUUCCCGGUGUAGCGGUGAAAUGCGCAGAUAUCGGGAAGAACACCCGUGGCGAAGGCGGCUCUCUGGGACGGUACUGACGCUGAGGAGCGAAAGCGUGGGGAGCGAACAGG